GGAUCUUUGGAGAAGCUCGCCGACAGCCGGUCGGGACGAGUGCCGAAGGGGCAAGCGGUUCGCCGCCAAUCUCUCAGGCAAAAGGACAAAGA
rnacentral:ncRNA from 1 species